UACGAAGGAUGCAAGCGUUAUCCGGAUUCAUUGGGUUUAAAGGGAGCGUAGGUGGCCUUAUAAGUCAGUGGUGAAAUCUCGCAGCUCAACUGCGAAAUUGCCAUUGAUACUGUAGGGCUUGAGUACAGUUGCUGUGGGCGGAAUAUGACAUGUAGUGGUGAAAUACAUAGAGAUGUCAUAGAACACCGAUUGCGAAGGCAGCUCACAAAACUGUAACGGACACUGAGGCUCGAAAGUGCGGGGAUCAAACAGG
rnacentral:rRNA from 1 species